GAUGAACGCUAGCGGCAGGCUUAAUACAUGCAAGUCGAGGGGCAGCACGGUUAGCAAUAACUGGUGGCGACCGGCGCACGGGUGCGUAACACGUAUACAAUCUACCUUAAACAGGGGGAUAGCCUUUCGAAAGAGAGAUUAAUACCCAGUAAUAAAUUGAACGGCAUCGUUUGAUUUUGAAAGCUCCGGCGGUUUGAGAUGAGUAUGCGUCUGAUUAGCUAGUUGGUGAGGUAACGGCUCACCAAGGCGACGAUCAGUAGGGGAUCUGAGAGGACUAACCCCCACACUGGUACUGAGACACGGACCAGACUCCUACGGGAGGCAGCAGUAAGGAAUAUUGGUCAAUGGAGGCAACUCUGAACCAGCCAUGCCGCGUGCAGGAUGACGGCCCUAUGGGUUGUAAACUGCUUUUAUACAAGAGAAAACCCUGGUACGUGUACCAGGUUGAUAGUAUUGUAAGAAUAAGCAUCGGCUAACUUCGUGCCAGCCGCCGCUGUAACAC
rnacentral:rRNA from 1 species